CUUAUGGGCAAACUGGUGGCUGUCCAGGUCCACAGGGAGGCAGUCUCUGAUGUACGCCAGUAUCAUCCGCUCAAAGCACCUCAUGAUUACUGGGGUGAGGGCGACUGGGCGUCAUUGAGGCAGGGAAUGGCAGAAUUUGUGGGGAUAGGGACGAUGGUAGUGGUCUUAAGGCAGGUGGGAUCUGCACCUUGUUGCAGGGAGUGGUUGAAGAUUUCUGUAGAAGCUCCUGCUAACUGGUUGGCACAUGAGCUCAGUAUACGGCCCGACACCCCAUCAGGGCCAGUAGCCUUGUUGGUGUCAAUCCUUCUCAAG
ensembl:lncRNA